rnacentral:rRNA from 1 species
GACGAACGCUGGCGGCGUGCUUAACACAUGCAAGUCGAACGGAAAGGCCCUGCUUUUGCGGGGUGCUCGAGUGGCGAACGGGUGAGUAACACGUGAGUAACCUGCCCUUGACUUUGGGAUAACUUCAGGAAACUGGGGCUAAUACCGGAUAGGAGCUCCUGCUGCAUGGUGGGGGUUGGAAAGUUUCGGCGGUUGGGGAUGGACUCGCGGCUUAUCAGCUUGUUGGUGGGGUAGUGGCUUACCAAGGCUUUGACGGGUAGCCGGCCUGAGAGGGUGACCGGCCACAUUGGGACUGAGAUACGGCCCAGACUCCUACUGGAGGCAGCAGUGGGGAAUAUUGCACAAUGGGCGGAAGCCUGAUGCAGCAACGCCGCGUGCGGGAUGACGGCCUUCGGGUUGUAAACCGCUUUCGCCUGUGACGAAGCGUGAGUGACGGUAAUGGGUAAAGAAGCACCGGCUAACUACGUG